rnacentral:ncRNA from 1 species
UAUUAAAUAUAUAUUUUAGGUUCUUGAUAAAAGAUUAAUAGGGAAAGAGGUGUAAUUCCUCUGCAGCCCCCGCUACUGUAAAGCUGACGAAAUUUAUUUUAACCACUAUGAUUUAUUAUUCAUGGGAAGGUAAAAGAGUAGGAUGAAGCUAAGCCAGGAGACCUGCCUAGUAAUAUUAAAGUAAU